CAUAGCGACUAUCGUGGCAUAUCAAUAAGCGGAGGAAAAGAAACUAACAAGGAUUCCCUUAGUAACGGCGAGUGAAGCGGGAAGAGCUCAAAUUUGAAAUCCUCAAGGUUUUACCUUGACGAAUUGUAGUUUAAAGAAGUGUUUUCUGUUGAAGUUUCGGUAAAAGUUCUUUGGAAUAGGACAUUAUAGAGGGUGAGAAUCCCGUAUUUGACCGUUAUUUUCAGCUGUGUGAUACACUUUCAACGAGUCGGAUUGUUUGGGAAUGCAGUCCAAAAUGGGUGGUAAAUUUCAUCUAAAGCUAAAUAUUGGCGAGAGACCGAUAGCGAACAAGUACCGUGAGGGAAAGAUGAAAAGAACUUUGAAAAGAGAGUUAAACAGUACGUGAAAUUGUCAAAAGGGAAGCGUUUGACACCAGUGUUGUUUUCUCGAAAAUCAAUUAAAAAUGGCCUGAUUUUGUGUUGUAUUGACCUUAAAAGCUUUCUUCACUUUUUUCAUGUCUUUUUUAAUGCACUUUUCGUUUAACAAGUCAAUAUCAGUUUCUUUUGUUGUAAAAAGGUCAUUGGAAGGUGGCUUUCUUUUCGGAGAAAGUGUUUAUAGCCUUUGACUCCUACAAUCGGAGAGACUGAGGUCUGCAGCGUAGAUCCUUCUGGAUUAGAUACAUUUGUGCUAAGUUAUAGCUUUUCAUAGACAACUUGUUGACUAUGUUUAGUCUUGUAGCUUACUCGCUUAUGCUAAUUUUACCUACGCUUAGGAUGUUGAUAGUCACAGCGUGUAC
rnacentral:rRNA from 1 species